GCCUCUAUGGCUCAGUGGUAGAGCGUCGCACUUGUAUAGCAAUGCGAAGGUCCAUAGUUCAAUCCUGUGUGGAGGCA